rnacentral:rRNA from 1 species
UGGAAAGAUGAAUCAAAGAAGGUAAUAAUCCUGUAGUCGAAAAUGUUGUCUCUCUUGAGUGGAUCCUGAGUACGACGGAGCACGUGAAAUUCCGUCGGAAUCUGGGAGGACCAUCUCCUAAGGCUAAAUACUCUCUAGUGACCGAUAGUGAACCAGUACCGUGAGGGAAAGGUGAAAAGCACCCCGGAAGGGGAGUGAAAUAGAACCUGAAACCGUGUGCUUACAAGUAGUCAGAGCCCGUUAAUGGGUGAUGGCGUGCCUUUUGUAGAAUGAACCGGCGAGUUACGAUUUGAUGCAAGGUUAAGCAGUAAAUGUGGAGCCGUAGCGAAAGCGAGUCUGAAUAGGGCGUUUAGUAUUUGGUCGUAGACCCGAAACCAGGUGAUCUACCCUUGGUCAGGUUGAAGUUCAGGUAACACUGAAUGGAGGACCGAACCGACUUACGUUGAAAAGUGAGCGGAUGAACUGAGGGUAGCGGAGAAAUUCCAAUCGAACCUGGAGAUAGCUGGUUCUCUCCGAAAUAGCUUUAGGGCUAGCCUCAAGUGAUGAUUAUUGGAGGUAGAGCACUGUUUGGACGAGGGGCCCCUCUCGGGUUACCGAAUUCAGACAAACUCCGAAUGCCAAUUAAUUUAACUUGGGAGUCAGAACAUGGGUGAUAAGGUCCGUGUUCGAAAGGGAAACAGCCCAGACCACCAGCUAAGGUCCCAAAAUAUAUGUUAAGUGGAAAAGGAUGUGGCGUUGCCCAGACAACUAGGAUGUUGGCUUAGAAGCAGCCAUCAUUUAAAGAGUGCGUAAUAGCUCACUAGUCGAGUGACACUGCGCCGAAAAUGUACCGGGGCUAAACAUAUUACCGAAGCUGUGGAUUGUCCUUUGGACAAUGGUAGGAGAGCGUUCUAAGGGCGUUGAAGCAUGAUCGUAAGGACAUGUGGAGCGCUUAGAAGUGAGAAUGCCGGUGUGAGUAGCGAAAGACGGGUGAGAAUCCCGUCCACCGAUUGACUAAGGUUUCCAGAGGAAGGCUCGUCCGCUCUGGGUUAGUCGGGUCCUAAGCUGAGGCCGACAGGCGUAGGCGAUGGAUAACAGGUUGAUAUUCCUGUACCACCUAUAAUCGUUUUA